AGUGAACGCUGGCGGUAGGCUUAACACAUGCAAGUCGAACGGCAGCACAGUAAGAGCUUGCUCUUACGGGUGGCGAGUGGCGGACGGGUGAGGAAUACAUCGGAAUCUACUUUUUCGUGGGGGAUAACGUAGGGAAACUUACGCUAAUACCGCAUACGACCUACGGGUGAAAGCAGGGGAUCUUCGGACCUUGCGCGAUUGAAUGAGCCGAUGUCGGAUUAGCUAGUUGGCGGGGUAAAGGCCCACCAAGGCGAGGAUCCGUAGCUGGUCUGGGAGGAUGGUCGCCGACACGGGAGCUGAGACACGGUCCAGACUCCUACGAGAGGCAGCAGUGGGGAAUGUUGGACAAUGGGCGCGAGCCUGAUCCAGCCGUACCGCGUGGGUGAAGGAGGCCUUCGGGUUGUAAAGACCUUUUGUUGGGAAAGAACAGCAUCAGGUUGAUACCCCGCUGUUCUGACGGUACCCGAAGAAUAAGCACCGGCUAACUUCGUG
rnacentral:rRNA from 1 species